GGGUGCGAUCAUACCAGCACUAAUGCACCGGAUCCCAUCAGAACUCCGCACUUCAGCGUGCUUGGGCUGGUAGAGUAGUACUGGGAUGGGUAACCUCCUGGGAAGUCCUCGUGUUGCGCCCC